UACGGAGGAUGCGAGCGUUAUCCGGAUUUAUUGGGUUUAAAGGGUGCGUAGGCGGGAUGCCAAGUCAGCGGUAAAAAUGCGGUGCUCAACGCCGUCGAGCCGUUGAAACUGGCGUUCUUGAGUGGGCGAGAAGUAUGCGGAAUGCGUGGUGUAGCGGUGAAAUGCAUAGAUAUCACGCAGAACUCCGAUUGCGGAGGCAGCAUACCGGCGCCCUACUGACGCUGAGGCACGAAAGCGUGGGUAUCGAACAGG
rnacentral:rRNA from 1 species